AAAAACAAAACAGCGAACGCUUAUAUAUGUCCAUAAUCCGGUUGGACGUUUCUACCAACUACCCUAAUAGUUGUCUAUAAGCUGCAUGCGAGGAGGU
rnacentral:ncRNA from 2 species